rnacentral:rRNA from 1 species
UACGAAGGGGGGCUAGCGUUGUUCGGAUUUACUGGGCGUAAAGCGCACGUAGGCGGAUCGUUAAGUCAGGGGUGAAAUCCUGGAGCUCAACUCCAGAACUGCCUUUGAUACUGGCGAUCUCGAGUCCGGAAGAGGUGAGUGGAACUCCUAGUGUAGAGGUGGAAUUCGUAGAUAUUAGGAAGAACACCAGUGGCGAAGGCGGCUCACUGGACUGGUAGUUGACGCUGAGGUGCGAAAGCGUGGGGAGCAACAGG